ACUCAAAGGAAUUGACGGGGACCCGCACAAGCAGUGGAGUAUGUGGUUUAAUUCGAUGCAACGCGAAGAACCUUACCAAGGCUUGACAUCCCUUGCAUAGUAUAGAAAUAUAUGAAUCCCUUCGGGGCAAGGAGACAGGUGGUGCAUGGUUGUCGUCAGCUCGUGUCGUGAGAUGUUGGGUUAAGUCCCGCAACGAGCGCAACCCCUAUUGUUAGUUGCCAUCAUUUAGUUGGGCACUCUAGCGAGACUGCCGAUGGUAAAUCGGAGGAAGGUGGGGAUGAUGUCAAAUCAUCAUGCCCCUUAUGUCUUGGGCUACACACGUACUACAAUGGCCGUUACAAUGGGCAGCGAAAGAGCAAUCUGGAGCCAAUCCCCAAAAGCGGUCUCAGUUCGGAUUGCAGGCUGAAACUCGCCUGCAUGAAGUUGGAAUUGCUAGUAAUGGCAGGUCAGCAUACUGCCGUGAAUACGUUCCCGGGUCUUGCACACACCGCCCGU
rnacentral:rRNA from 1 species